GAUUACAGGCUUGAGCCACCGCGCCCGGCCUAUAAGGCUCUUUUUAAUAAACUUCCACUCCUGCACUGAAGCUUGCCUUGGUCUCUUCUUCUGCCUGAUGCCCCUCAGUAAAAUUCUUUCUUUUGAGGAGGCAAG